GGAUGGGUCCUUGCCGAUUGAGGUGUGGUGGAUAAAAGUGAUUGGAGGUGCGCCGAGGUGUUGCUGACUUGAGGAGAUGAUGAUAGGGUCUGCGAGGGAAACCCGAAAUGGGUGCAGAUGACUUCUGUGAGGUUUUGCUUUUGCUGUUGUUGGCCUUUGAAAGGAUGGUGCUAGGGAAGAAAUGUCUCUUCAUUUUAACCUCGAGAUACUUAUGGAGUUAAGUAUCAUUGGAUGACAGGUAAACAAAGGCUUACGAAAUGAUUGGGGAAGAGGGGAACAACUUUGGAUCAGAGGUGUGUCGAGGUGUUGCUGACUUGAGGGCUGAGGCAAUACUAUACUAUCAAAACUGAGAGAGGAGAGCAUAGAUUUGUGCCUGAUAGUGGUUCUGAGCUUCUUCCAAAUACCUCAAUAUGAGGAAUCGGUAAGGUUGUGAAGAUGAUCAUGGCCACUAAAAUAUAGUUUACAAGCUUAUAAAAGUAAUUUGCAAAGAAGCAAACAUGAGCAGGCCCGGAGAUUGGAACUGCAGGUCCUGCCAGCACCUGAACUUUCAGAGGAGAGAUUCAUGCCAGCAAUGUGGGGACUCCAAAUAUGGAGACAGGAUCGAUUUUGGGGCAUUUGGAGGUGGAAUUAGAGGAGGGUCUUCAUUUGGGUUGAGCGGUUCAGAUGUUUGCCCCGGUGACUGGUACUGUGCUGCUGCUAACUGUGGUGCACACAACUUUGCUAGCCGCUCAAGCUGCUUCAAAUGUGGUGCAUUCAAGGAUGACUUAGUUGGAGGCUUCAGCAGCGACAUCUUGCGCUCAAGAGGCGGCUUUGGUGGCGGCGGCGGAGGAAGACCUGGAUGGAAAUCUGGUGACUGGAUAUGCAGCAGCCGCUUUUUUGGCUUAUUUUAAUCUUUAUGCUCCUUUCAGAGUUCCUGCUCUUCCUUCUUUUAGUUUCCCUCUCUUUUUCAUCUGUCAAAGUAUUCAGGACUCAAUUGGAGAAGAAAAAAUAAAAAAUUAUAGAAAUCUUAUCUCUAUCGUACUUGAGAUUUCUUAUCUCACUAAUCUGUCCUUUUCAUCUUACUCUCUCACAUUUUCACUAUCUCUUUAUCUCCACCUCUUCUGCAUCUCCUUAUCACUUUACAGUCGGAUCUGUUUCCUCUCCUGCCAAUCUCUCUCUCCGGCGUCUCACCGCACACGGCCGUGUCAAUUUUAUUCGUGUGCUUUGGACAAUUUUUGACAACUACUAUUGAAGUGUUUCCUUUCCCUAUUUGCUGGGUUAAUUUCAAUUGCUUUACUCUUCCGUAUGCAGGCUGACAAGAAAGGGCUAGACCACUGGAUGGAUGUUGAAGCCUUGAAAGAUAAACAAAAACAAGAAAUUGGUAAAGAAACUAGCGGAAAAGUACUAUGCCUUUUUAGCUUCUGAAGCUGUUACCAAGCAGAUUCCUCAUGAGCUUUGAUAAUCUCUACAACAAAUUUUGAAGGAAGGGGAGCUUCAAGUUGCUUGUAAAGAGAGAGGGAGUCAUUGUUGUCUUGUCAGUUUAGGGACAUUGCCACCAUUGUGAUGCACAAGACUUACAAUCCAUGCCAUUGACUCCAUAUCUAAGAGAAAGCUCAGAUUUGCUAAUUUGGUUUUCAGCUACAAGCCAUGGCAAUCAGGAUCUGAAUUUUUUAAACCCAAACUGGUGAAGUGGUUGAAUCACCUGUUUACCAGGCGGGAUCCCUUACCAGGCAUGGUUUUUAGUUUUUACAAUUAGCUUCAACAUAUCAAUUGCUGAAGAAAUGGGUUACUCUAUUUUUCUUUUUCUGUAAGAGGGUGAGAUUUUUACUAGAUGAAUUCAGAACGCUGAGAUGAGUUCGGAUUGGGUUUCAGAAUCUCAAACGGAGCCCAGACGGAACGACACUCUCCCCCACUUGCCGGCAAGGUAGCCGGAGAGUGAGCCAACUCUCAGCCACGCGCUUCACUCGCGCUGGAGGAAGAAAGAGAGUGGAGGCCACUCUCGGGCUUGAGCCACACACGCCUCUGCCGGUUUGGUCCUUGUCAUAAAUCGGUCAACAACGGUGCAAGCCAGGAAAAACUGAAAAUCCAGUGGUUAAUCAAUUUUAACCAGAUCCAAAUCUACAUGCUCAGGCGGCACAAUUCCUUCACUUCUGUCAGUUCCAAGUAACACCUUUUUAUGUGAAUUUAUUGUUAGAAUAUAAAUUAGACUUGACCUUUAUUACUUUUUGAAUUAUAAGGACAGAUGCAGCACUAUAGCCUAGGGAGUAGAUAUCAACACUAGAUAUCAAAGAUGAGUAAAGAAUAGCAUCAACGGCUUCACGUUGAUGUUUCCUUUUUGAAAUUUCAGCAGCUUUAUUGUGAUUAGGAGCUCUACCUUGACUAUUUGCAUCUCUGGUCUCUCUUUAUGACAUCUUUUUAUGGCGGAAGCAGAAACUUUUGUAGAACUGGUUAUUGGAACUGGCUUUUGUAGAAGUAGCAUUGGUGUUAUUAAAAAAACUCUUUAGUUAGCCUUGGAAUUGGUUAAUAUUGAAUCUGAAACUAUAAA